rnacentral:rRNA from 1 species
CAGUCGCCGCGGGAAUACGUAGGUGGCAAGCGUUGUCCGGAAUUAUUGGGCGUAAAGGGCUCGCAGGCGGUUUCUUAAGUCUGAUGUGAAAGCCCCCGGCUCAACCGGGGAGGGUCAUUGGAAACUGGGAAACUUGAGUGCAGAAGAGGAGAGUGGAAUUCCACGUGUAGCGGUGAAAUGCGUUGAGAUCGGAAAGAACACCAACGGCAAAAGCACUCUGCUGGGCCGACACUGACACUGAGAGACGAAAGCUAGGGGAGCAAAUGGGAUUAGAUACCCGCGUAGUCCCUGUCUCUUAUAC